GACGUGUGGCUGUCGUAAAAACCCUAUUUGUAAACAACCAGCCCUUUAACUCGGGGCUGCGUCAUAAACACGGCGCGCUUGGAAGACCACGAUGUCAUCUUCCUUCUGUCAGGAGGAUCCAAGUGAAGCUACAGGAGUUUCAUUAACGUCAACAACUUGGACCAAACAGUUUGUUUUGCUUGAUGAAGAGCAGGAAGGGCAGCCUGGAGAGAAAGAGAAGCCGGGUUGAGCCCACUACCAUCAUCCACGUACCACGAGGAAGAUGAGGGAGAGAAAUGAUCCUACCAUUAAAGAGACUGUGAAAAGAACGUUGAGAACAUCACCACUCUACAGGAAGACACAGUCCAGUAAUGGGUGUCAGAAGUUCAGUAGUGAACGACAGAAACAAACAAUCCAAAUUACCUGCAGAAAGCCCUUGAUGGACGCUUCAGCUGCAUCGUCAGACUGGCAGUACUGAUGCAUUUACUGAGACGGGACGUGAGGGCCUACUCUGCGUGCUCAGAGUUCAAGCCCAGCAGGCUGCAGCGGGCCUGACAUAUUCUGGAACAGCAGCACAGUCUUUGGAUGACUCCUCUGAAGAUGAAAACAUGGCGAGUUCUUCUCAAGAGAAGCAGUACAGGUGUGCCUCAGCUCCACGGUCCCUCCUGCAGCCUCCGCUCCUGAUGCUAACCUCAUGUCUCCAUCACACCAAGCAGCAGACCUGGAUUGACAGACCUUUCUCCAGAGCUGCCCCCUCCCUCUGAAACCCCCCUCUCCAAAACACUAUUUGUGUAGUUUUUAAAGUAUUUUUUGCAUGAGAAUUGUUGAUCAUAACAUUUCCAGCAGAUGCCUUAAUAUAAUGUUUGUGCACAA